AUUGAACGCUAGCGGGAGGCCUUACACAUGCAAGUCGAACGGAGUGGCGAACGGGUGAGUAAUGUAUCGGAACGUGCCCAGUAGCGGGGGAUAACUACGCGCAGGCGUAGCUAAUACCGCAUACUAAUGGACCGGCCGAUAUCGGAUCAGCGAGGUGGUGGGGUAACGGCUCACCAAGGCUACGAUCCGUAGCUGGUGUGAUAGGACGAGCAGCCCCACUGGGAUUGAUACACGGCCCAGACGCCUACGGGAGGCAGCAGGGGGGAAUUUGGGACAAUGGGGGAAACCCUGAUCCAGCCAUCCCGCUUGUGCGAUGAAGGCCUUCGGGUCGUAAAGGACUUUUGGCAGGAAAGCGGUACCUGCAGAAUAAGCACCGGCUAACUAUGUGCCAGCAGCCGCGGUAAUAC
rnacentral:rRNA from 1 species